GACAGAAUGGCAUCUGACAUGGAAGUGCAUAUGAAGCAAAGUGCUGCCAAGGCACCCUGGGACAUCCGCUACCUGGUGUAAGUGCCAAGGUGCACAAGUUACUGCUCGUCAGAAGGAACACCUCAGAACCAGCCAUAAGUCAUCUCACUGUUUAACCAUGUGCCUGGAGGACAGAUUUUCUUCACCACUCAUUUUAAACUUCUGCUUAAUGGAGGACCUGACCCAAGACAACAAUCCAAACUUUUAGC